UGAGCCUAGCAGCGGAGAAGAUCUCUUCUUUCACGCACAUCCUUGAGAACAUGGCGGAGAUGUGUCGGCUGCCAGAAGUCGAACUCCUGGAGAACGCUGGAAGGAAGUUGCAGAGGUGGGCAAGGGAGAGAUUUGAUAGAACAGUGGCAUACCCCGCUGCGCUGAAAAG